CCUACGGGUGGCAGCAGGGAGGAAUAUUGGGCAAUGGACGAGAGUCUGAACCAGCCAAGUAGCGUGAAGGAUGAAUGCCCUAUGGGUUGUAAACUUCUGUUAUAAAGGAAGAAAACGAGGCACGUGUGCCGUUUUGCAUGUACUUUAUGAAUAAGGAUCGGCUAACUCCGUGCCAGCAGCCGCGGUAAUACGGAGGAUCCGAGCGUUAUCCGGAUUUAUUGGGUUUAAAGGGAGCGUAGAGGGGUUGUUAAGUCAGUGGUGAAAGUUUGCGGCGCAACCGUAAAAUUGCAAUUGAUACUGGCAGUCUUGAGUACAGUUGAGGUCGGCGGAAUUCGUGGUGUCGCGGUGAAAUGCUUCGCUCUCACG
rnacentral:rRNA from 1 species